rnacentral:rRNA from 1 species
CUACGGGCCGCAGCAGUGAGGAAUAUUGCACAAUGGGGGGAACCCUGAUGCAGCAACGCCGCGUGGAGGAUGACGCAUUUCGGUGUGUAAACUCCUUUUAUAUGUCAAGAAAAUGACGGUAGCAUAUGAAUAAGCACCGGCUAACUCCGUGCCAGCAGCCGCGGUAAUACGGAGGGUGCAAGCGUUACUCGGAAUCACUGGGCGUAAAGGACGCGUAGGCGGGUUGGAAAGUCAGGUGUGUAAUCCUACAGCUUAACUGUAGAACUGCACUUGAAACUUCUAAUCUAGAGUAUGGGAGGGGGAGAUGGAAUUAGUGGUGUAGGGGUAAAAUCCGUAGAUAUCACUAGGAAUACCUAAAGCGAAGGCGAUCUCCUGGAACAUUACUGACGCUAAGGCGUGAAAGCGUGGGGAGCAAACAGGAUUAGAUACCCUUGUAGUC